rnacentral:tmRNA from 1 species
GGGGGCGUACCGGUUUCGACGGGGACGCGGAAGCAGGAAUAGCGGGCGGUGGUGCUCGACCACCUUAAAACGGGCAUUCUUUAUAAAUUAAAGAACAACGAUAACUACGCUUACGCUGCCUGAUUAAAGGCGGCCGUCUGACCCGAAAGGACCACGAGUCGGGAUCAGGCGUCGUUUUAGUGGUGCACGUGCGUAUGGUAAGCUUUGCCCAUACCAUGAACAAUGAAGCUUACCCAAUCUCCAGGCGUGACGGCUUGCCUGGACCGAGGGGAACGGGGCGGUAACGCCGCCCAAAAUAACCGCCUGCGCCCGGAGAAGUUCCUGUGAAAGUGUUUUCGGACGGGAGUUCAACUCUCCCCGCCUCCACCA